AUCCAGCUAAUGAGUCUGAAAUAGGAUGAGACGCGCGUCAUGGAU
rfam:Schistosoma haematobium scaffold377_12, whole genome shotgun sequence.